UACGGGGGGGGGCAAGCGUUGUUCGGAAUUACUGGGCGUAAAGGGCUCGUAGGCGGCCCACUAAGUCCGACGUGAAAUCCCCAGGCUUAACUUGGGAACUGCGUCGGAUACUGGUGGGCUUGAAUCCGGGAGAGGGAUGCGGAAUUCCAGGUGUAGCGGUGAAAUGCGUAGAUAUCUGGAGGAACACCGGUGGCGAAGGCGGCAUCCUGGACCGGUAUUGACGCUGAGUGAGCGAAAGCCAGGGGAGCAAACGGGG
rnacentral:rRNA from 1 species